GACCUGGCAGCAGAAUGGUUAAGCACUUGGCUGCUACCCAAAAGGCUGACAGUUCAAAUCUACCCCGGGUCU
rnacentral:tRNA from 1 species